GAUGAACGCUGGCGGCGUGCUUAACACAUGCAAGUCGAACGGAAAGGCUCCUGCUUGCAGGGGUACUCGAGUGGCGAACGGGUGAGUAACACGUGGGUGAUCUGCCCAGCACUUCGGGAUAAGCCUGGGAAACUGGGUCUAAUACCGGAUAGGACGAUGGUUUGGAUGCCAUUGUGGAAGGUUUUUUCGGUGUGGGAUGAGCUCGCGGCCUAUCAGCUUGUUGGUGGGGUAAUGGCCUACCAAGGCGUCGACGGGUAGCCGGCCUGAGAGGGUGUACGGCCACAUUGGGACUGAGAUACGGCCCAGACUCCUACGGGAGGCAGCAGUGGGGAAUAUUGCACAAUGGGCGCAAGCCUGAUGCAGCGACGCCGCGUGGGGGAUGACGGCCUUCGGGUUGUAAACUCCUUUCGCUAGGGACGAAGCGCAAGUGACGGUACCUGGAGAAGAAGCACCGGCUAACUACGUG
rnacentral:rRNA from 1 species